GCUCCGGUAGCUCAAUGGAUAGAGCAACCGCCUUCUAAGCGGUCGGUUACAGGUUCGAGUCCUGUCCGGAGCG
rnacentral:tRNA from 1 species